ensembl:snRNA U6 U6 spliceosomal RNA
UGUGCUUGUUUUGGUCAACAUACUAAAAUUACAAUGAUACAGAAACGAUUAGCAUGGUCCCUGCACAAGAAUGGUAUGCAAAUUUGUGAAGUGCUGCAUAUGUUU